GACGAACGCUGGCGGCGUGCCUAAUACAUGCAAGUCGAGCGGACGGAUGGGAGCUUGCUCCCAGACCGUCAGCGGCGGACGGGUGAGUAACACGUGGCAACCUGCCUGUAAGACUGGGAUAACUCCGGGAAACCGGGGCUAAUACCGGAUAACUCUUUCCCUCACAUGAGGGAAAGCUGAAAGAUGGCAUCUCGCUAUCACUUACAGAUGGGCCCGCGGCGCAUUAGCUAGUUGGUGAGGUAACGGCUCACCAAGGCGACGAUGCGUAGCCGACCUGAGAGGGUGAUCGGCCACACUGGGACUGAGACACGGCCCAGACUCCUACGGGAGGCAGCAGUAGGGAAUCUUCCGCAAUGGACGAAAGUCUGACGGAGCAACGCCGCGUGAGUGAUGAAGGUUUUCGGAUCGUAAAACUCUGUUGUCAGGGAAGAACAAGUACCGGAGUAACUGCCGGUACCUUGACGGUACCUGACCAGAAAGCCACGGCUAACUACGUG
rnacentral:rRNA from 1 species